GACCACGUAGCUCAGUUGGCAGAGCAUUGGGCUAGUAUUCCAAAGGUCGUAGGUUCGAUUCCAACCGUGGCCA
rnacentral:tRNA from 1 species